CUGACCACCUCCUUGGGUUUGAGGGUGUCUGGUUUGAAGCUGCCCCCAGAGAUCACCACCCUCUGGAUCUGGUCACAAAGGAACAGAAGAAGGAUCCUCUCUUCGAUGGUACCCUGGCAGAUGAGGCGGUACACAGUGACCUGCUUGGUCUGACCCAGCCUGUGGGCCCGGUCCAUGGCCUGCUGGUCUACCGUUGGGUUCCAGUCGCUGUCGUAGAAGAUAACCUGCAAACAAAGAGAGGCGCUGGUUCUGCUUGCUUACGCAGUGAGGUUGAUGCCAAGUCCUCCAGCUCUGGUGCUGAGCAGGAACACAAAGAUGUCGGUUCUGUGGAGCACAGAGGGAAACAGCCUUUAACACGACUAUGGAAACGC